GAUGAACGCUGGCGGUGUGCCUAAUACAUGCAAGUCGAGCGAACGGACGAGAAGCUUGCUUCUCUGAUGUUAGCGGCGGACGGGUGAGUAACACGUGGAUAACCUACCUAUAAGACUGGGAUAACUUCGGGAAACCGGAGCUAAUACCGGAUAAUAUUUUGAACCGCAUGGUUCAAAAGUGAAAGACGGUCUUGCUGUCACUUAUAGAUGGAUCCGCGCUGCAUUAGCUAGUUGGUAAGGUAACGGCUUACCAAGGCAACGAUGCAUAGCCGACCUGAGAGGGUGAUCGGCCACACUGGAACUGAGACACGGUCCAGACUCCUACGGGAGGCAGCAGUAGGGAAUCUUCCGCAAUGGGCGAAAGCCUGACGGAGCAACGCCGCGUGAGUGAUGAAGGUCUUCGGAUCGUAAAACUCUGUUAUUAGGGAAGAACAUAUGUGUAAGUAACUGUGCACAUCUUGACGGUACCUAAUCAGAAAGCCACGGCUAACUACGUGCCAGCAGCCGCGGUAAUACGUAGGUGGCAAGCGUUAUCCGGAAUUAUUGGGCGUAAAGCGCGCGUAGGCGGUUUUUUAAGUCUGAUGUGAAAGCCCACGGCUCAACCGUGGAGGGUCAUUGGAAACUGGAAAACUUGAGUGCAGAAGAGGAAAGUGGAAUUCCAUGUGUAGCGGUGAAAUGCGCAGAGAUAUGGAGGAACACCAGUGGCGAAGGCGACUUUCUGGUCUGUAACUGACGCUGAUGUGCGAAAGCGUGGGGAUCAAACAGGAUUAGAUACCCUGGUAGUCCACGCCGUAAACGAUGAGUGCUAAGUGUUAGGGGGUUUCCGCCCCUUAGUGCUGCAGCUAACGCAUUAAGCACUCCGCCUGGGGAGUACGACCGCAAGGUUGAAACUCAAAGGAAUUGACGGGGACCCGCACAAGCGGUGGAGCAUGUGGUUUAAUUCGAAGCAACGCGAAGAACCUUACCAAAUCUUGACAUCCUUUGACAACUCUAGAGAUAGAGCCUUCCCCUUCGGGGGACAAAGUGACAGGUGGUGCAUGGUUGUCGUCAGCUCGUGUCGUGAGAUGUUGGGUUAAGUCCCGCAACGAGCGCAACCCUUAAGCUUAGUUGCCAUCAUUAAGUUGGGCACUCUAAGUUGACUGCCGGUGACAAACCGGAGGAAGGUGGGGAUGACGUCAAAUCAUCAUGCCCCUUAUGAUUUGGGCUACACACGUGCUACAAUGGACAAUACAAAGGGCAGCGAAACCGCGAGGUCAAGCAAAUCCCAUAAAGUUGUUCUCAGUUCGGAUUGUAUUCUGCAACUCGACUACAUGAAGCUGGAAUCGCUAGUAAUCGUAAAUCAACAUGCUACGGUGAAUACGUUUCCCGGGUCUU
rnacentral:rRNA from 1 species